AGGGAGUUUAGGGGACGUGGAGGGGGGGGGGUCGCGGGCCGGGUCACGGCGCGGCGGCGGCGAGGCGUCGGCCUGCGAGCGCGGGUCGGCCGCCGCGUUAUCAGGGGCUGUUAUCGCUUGUCAGGACCUCCGUCUCCCCGCAUUACGUCAGUUUCAAGACACCGACACUAUUAAUAUCAAAGGAGCCUUCGCGGAGGAAAGCGCCACCCCAGACGGAGCGCCCUUAAAGAGACAGCGCAGGCGGCCCCGCCGCGCCGCCCCCCCCUUCCCCUCACACGCAGCCCCCCCUCAGGGCCGGGCCGGGCCGGGCCGGGCUCCCCCGGGGGCGGCCAUGAGCGGGGAGCGGGCCGGGCCGCCGAGGCUUUGGCCGAGUUGGGUGUCUGAGGAGCAGCCCGCAGGCCACAGCCGCAUCCCCAGCGCGGCCCCCGCGAGGUUUUGGUGCCUUUUUUUUUUUUUCUUUUCUUUUUAUCGAUCGCAUUGAUCGCUGCUGUACGGAUUUUGAAAAGUCACCAACACCGCCACCGCCUCACAGCACCCCCAGCACCUCACAAAAAUGACAACGACACCACCAGCACCACCUCCGAGCCGCUGCCCACCCGCGGGACAGGGCACGGGGGGGAUGCCUGGGGGGCUCUGCUCGCCCCUCUCCCCCUGCUGUACCAGACAGACAGACGGACACUUCCCAGUCCUCCGCUGAACGUGCCCCGUGGGUGCCUUCUCGUUAACACCAAGCACAAAUUAGGUCUCGAGCUGCCCUGGAGAAGACCCUUACAACUGCCCUCUCUGCUCUCAGCCUCUCCGACUCAAAACGCGCCGCUUUCUCCCCUGCCACAAAUUGCCAGGAGUCUGUAUGUCGGAGUAAAAAACUCCGAGGAGAAGCAGUACGUGAAAGGUUCCCCUGAAAGGGUUUAAAACCCCAAAUAUAGUAGGCGUUAAAAACUAUGUAAACAUUUGUUGGGCAUUUGGACACAAUUUUUUCUGCACUUAGGUGACUUUAUAUGGCGAGUUUUUUCCUCCCGUGCAAGUCGCUUUGAACUGAUUUCACAUUAAAACACAAGUGUUCUGGUCGCUCGCAACUAGUAACACAUUAUUCAAAUGAGGAGCUGGAAAAGAGUUAAAUCAUUACGAUUUAAGUUAGAGACAAAGCUGUUUCCCCCAAAAUGCUUGAAAUGACAUAACAUUUUCCUCACAUUUUCCCUCCCAAAUACAUAGCUAUAAGGCAUAAAACCUUCAGAGAUACACGCUGACGCAAAUGAAACCCUCCCGUAAAGCGUAUGGCGUUUUCAGUCCCCUCUCCAAGCUUAAACAUUCUUCAUAUAUGUUUAGGAUAAUCUACUGGCAGAUUUGUAAAGUAAUUGCUCAUGUAAAUCACCCAGCAACACAUUUCCCCCUUAAGUUCUUUUGUAGGAUUGUCUGAUAAAGCGCUUUAUGAAUAGCAAAGCAAUAAUUCACAUGCAAGAGGUGAGCCUGUCAUGUUGCAAAUGGAAGGUAGCAGAGUUGCAGGCUGCGGCGCACGGUGGGAUCCCAGAGCCCAGGAGGGGAGCACUGACAGGGUCUGUGUGGGACCCCCUCCCUCUGCGCCCAGCAGCACACGGACAGUGUGGAGCACUGGAGAAGUUUAUGACGGAAAGUGGAGGAAAGUAGCACCAGAAUUUAAAGUUUGCUUUAGCAGCGGGGCCAUAUGCCGUAGCACCUCACUCACAUGCGCAGGGAGAAUGUUUCCUGACUUCAUAACCCUCUACUUUUUCUCAGGCUGGAAGUGCCAUAGCAGAACUGCAGUCAGAGACGAACCGCUUUCAGGAACCUCAGUGAAUGCAGAAUUCGGACUAGUGAAUACUUUUGUCCCAUCUACACUGAUUCAGACCUGUUCUUCUCUGCAGCUUAGGUUCUGCUGUUGCUGCCAAGCCAGACCAGAGUGGCUGUUCGCUCGGAGACGCCUUGCCUGUGAAGGGUUAAAAUCAGCAGGAAAUGAUGCCCCCCACACCUUAAAUCUUCUCCAGCUUGCAUGUGUGCCUGCAGUUCUCCUAGAUUUUAGUCACAUUAUGACAGAUAAAACACAGAGAAGAUUGGUAACCAUGAAAGUGCAGGUUUCAACACGUGGAAACCUUGAUAAUAAACACACCUUUUUUCACCUGUAGAACAAUACGAGAUAUGUAUUUGUAAAAGACAUAAGCUUUUUGUGCACAUGCUUUUAAAAUGAAACCGCAGAAGCCAUUCCUAAACAGAGAUUAGAAAGACAAAACGUGUCUUCAUAAUUUCAAGUCGACGACUUUAAUGAAAUACUCUCAGGAAAAGUAUGUUACAGUAUCUUUGUAAAAAAAAAAAAAAGCUUGCAUGAUACGUUCUGCAUUUCAAGUUAAAAUAAAGCAGAUCAAGAAGAUGUCAAUAUCAAUCUGUUUAUAUUCACCACAACAGAACUGUAGAGAACUUAAUAAAAGCAAAAAUAUUUUCAUAAA